rnacentral:rRNA from 1 species
AUACGGAGGGGGCUAGCGUUGUUCGGAAUUACUGGGCGUAAAGCGCGCGUAGGCGGCCGGCACAGUCAGGCGUGAAAGCCCCGGGCUCAACCUGGGAACUGCAUUCAAUACUGCCAGGCUCGAGUACGAGAGAGGGGGGUAGAAUUCCACGUGUAGCGGUGAAAUGCGUAGAUAUGUGGAGGAAUACCGGUGGCGAAGGCGGCCCCCUGGCUCGAUACUGACGCUGAGGUGCGAAAGCGUGGGGAGCAAACAGGAUUAGAAACCCGGGUAGUCC